GAUGAACGCUAGCGGCAGGCUUAAUACAUGCAAGUCGAGGGGCAGCACAGGUAGCAAUACUGGGUGGCGACCGGCAAACGGGUGCGGAACACGUACAGAACCUUCCUUUAAGUGGGGGAUAGCCCAGAGAAAUUUGGAUUAAUACCCCGUAACAUUAUAGAGUGGCAUCACUCAGUAAUUAUAGAUUUAUCGCUUAGAGAUGGCUGUGCGGCUGAUUAGGUAGUUGGUGCGGGUAACGGCCCACCAAGCCUUCGAUCAGUAACUGGUGUGAGAGCACGACCAGUCACACGGGCACUGAGACACGGGCCCGGCUCCUACGGGAGGCAGCAGUAAGGAAUAUUGGUCAAUGGGAGGCAACUCUGAACCAGCCAUGCCGCGUGAAGGAUGAAGGU
rnacentral:rRNA from 1 species